rnacentral:misc_RNA from 1 species
AAGUCGUAACAAGGUAACCGUAGGUGAACCUGCGGUUGGAUCAUUACUGAAUACUCAUUCGGGGGAAAUUCCCGGAUCAGACUUUUCGGAGUCUUGUCCGGGAAUCCUCCCCGCUAUGAUAUUACACCCCCUUGUGAAUCGUUUACCGUAUUUUGGCAGCCGUCCAAAAUUUCCCUUCCUUUUUUGGAAAGGUUAUUUUCCCGGCUAUCAGCUUUAAUAAAAACACCGCAUAACUUUUUCAAUCCAGUCUCCAUGUAAUUUACCUUUUGGGUUUUACAAAUAUAAGUAAUAGUAAACAACUUUUGACAACGGAUCUCUUGGCUCUC